CCCAAUCCUCACCAAAAUUUUCAGAUUUUCUUCUCUUCAUCCCCUCUUUCCAUUUCUCCAACCAAAAUCAUGAAAUUUAGCCAUUUAACCCUCCAAAAACCCUAGAACCCGAAGCUAAAUUGGGGCUUUUUGUGAUUUCUUCUUUCCAAGUUCAAAUCAAGCUAGGCUACGGGUUUGGCAAGGAUUUGUGGUGAAGAAGGCCAAGGAGGAGGAUUUGGCCGUGAGUUUUGAAGAAGAAAGGGAAACACGAUCGUUAAGGAAGCUUAAGCGGAAAGCAUCAGAGUGUGGAAUACUCCGGCAUUUUCCAAGUAGGGUGAGCUGUCCCUUCCUUGUUAGAGGCUUUUCGAUAUAUGUGAAAUGCUCUAGUAUAAUAUUAUGUUGCCUGCAAGUAUAUUUUUGGUUGUUCAUUAGUCGAUGCCUCGUGAUACUUGUGUUUUCAUAACUGAUAAUUGUUGAUUGCGAAAACCGAGGCUAGACUUGCAUGUUGUGAUACUGUACCCUUUGUAUGUUUGUGUUUGUGACCUGAAAGUGAAUGGGACCUAGACGCGUAGAUUCCUAGGGAUCCCACGGUGUCGAUAACC